rnacentral:rRNA from 1 species
UACGUAGGGGGCAAGCGUUGUCCGGAAUCAUUGGGCGUAAAGAGCGUGUAGGCGGCCCGAUAAGUCCGCUGUGAAAGUCCAGGGCUCAACCCUGGAAUGCCGGUGGAUACUGUCGGGCUCGAAUCCGGAAGAGGUGAGUGGAAUUCCUGGUGUAGCGGUGAAAUGCGCAGAUAUCAGGAGGAACACCAAUGGCGAAGGCCGCUCACUGGGACGGUAUUGACGCUGAGACGCGAAAGCGUGGGGAGCAAACAGG